ensembl:lncRNA novel transcript
UACCUACAGCAUUGUACAAUAACAACUAGAAAAGGCAGUAUACUUCACUGAAGCUUGUCUGGUAACAUCACUUCUGUGUUAUAAUGGAAGGUUUUUUGUGAUGUAUGAAACUUGUGUUUUUUAUAUAUAAAUGAGUAUAUUUAGUGUUGUGGUAAUGCCUGUUUUUAUCUGUAAAUAGUUAAGUAUGUACACGAAGCAGUACUUCUGAUUUAUUGCAGUGUUCAAUCCUAGCUUUUAUUUUUAUUCUUAAAACAUUGUUUUGCUUUCGAUUUUAUGUACCUUAGUUCUGAGUUAGACCUGCAGAUGCGUACAGAUAGUUCAUAUUUAUGU